CCCGGAGCAUCCCAAGACCUCGCCAUGAACGCCCUUCUGCUGGCCGCUCUCUGCGCCCUGGCCGCGCUCAGCCUCGCCCGGCCAGAAGUCGAUCACGCCCGGAGGGCCGACGGGCCGCCCAAGUCGGGAGCUUUUGUCUCCAAGCGAGAGGGGGCUGAGAUCGUGAAGCGACAGAAGAGGAACUACAACAG